GCCUGAAUAGCUCAGUCGGUAGAGCGCGCAGCUUAGCUUGAUAACCUGGUCCAAAAGGUUGUGGGUUCGAUUCCCACCUCUGCUA
rfam:Xenopus laevis strain J chromosome 6L, whole genome shotgun sequence.